CUGGCGGCGUGCCUAAUACAUGCAAGUCGAACGGUCUUUUCUAUGGAAGCUUGCUUCCACUGAGAAGAUAGUGGCGAACGGGUGAGUAACACGUGGGUAACCUGCCCAUAAGAGGGGGGAUAACAUCCGGAAACGGGUGCUAAUACCGCAUAGUUUUCUUGAUCGCAUGAUCGGGAAAGGAAAGACGGCCUUUGUGCUGUCGCUUAUGGAUGGACCCGCGGCGUAUUAGUUAGUUGGUGAGGUAACGGCUCACCAAGACGAUGAUACGUAGCCGACCUGAGAGGGUGAUCGGCCACAUUGGGACUGAGACACGGCCCAAACUCCUACGGGAGGCAGCAGUAGGGAAUCUUCCGCAAUGGACGAAAGUCUGACGGAGCAACGCCGCGUGAGUGAAGAAAGGUUUUCGGAUCGUAAAACUCUGUUGUCAGAGAAGAACAAGUUGGAGAGUAACUGCUCCAGCCUUGACGGUAUCUGACCAGAAAGCCACGGCUAACUACGUGCCAGCCGCAGC
rnacentral:rRNA from 1 species